UACGUAGGGGUGCAAGCGUUUAAUCGGAAUACUGGGCGUAAAGCGUGCGCAGGCGGUUGUGUAAGACAGAUGUGAAAUCCCCGGGCUCAACCUGGGAACUGCAUUUGUAACUGGCAAGGCUGGGAGUGUGGCAGGAGGGGGGGUGGAAUUCCACGUGUAGCAGUGAAAUGCGUAGAGAUGUGGAGGAACACCGAUGGCGAAGGCAGCCCCCUGGGCUAACACUGACGCUCAUGCACGAAAGCGUGGGGAGCAAACAGG
rnacentral:rRNA from 1 species